rnacentral:lncRNA from 1 species
CCUGGUCCCACCGCCUCGCAGCAGAAGCUGCGUUUGCUCCUCAUUUAUGCACCGGGUAAGGAUGGCUGCACAUGAGAUCUUCCAGACUGCAAAAAUCUCUGCAUGUUAUCCCUCAGGUACUAAGCUGAGAUGAUUUGUAUACAAAAUUUACGGGCUAGGCUCUGCCAUUUUCAUUCAUUACGUCUCAAAAUGAAUAAGAAGGCCACAAUGUAUUCUGUUAUAUGCUCUAUCAUGUUAUAGUUUUCACAAGCGUUAUCUCUGGCUACGUAUGCGUCCUGUGUGCAAAGAAAGAAAGAACUGAGAGUGGCUGACGUAUGAAAUAUCACUGCAUGGGUGAAGCCAAACCUGCAAGAAACAGACACUUCUUCUAUAAUUGGCCUCAGAGAAAAGACAGCCGGUCAUCUUGGAAUGGAUCAGACUUGGACUCACUUCUAGCCUGGAUAAGGGCCACAGGUACACCCAGCAAAGCGUUACCUCUCACCUGCAAGGAAGAACUGAGUCUCUGUGAAGAGGACUUUUGCUCUGAUUGAGGUGCUUUCUAGAGAGGAAGAAAAGAAUGAUCACAACAAGAGAUACAGCGACUACUA